rnacentral:rRNA from 1 species
GAUGAACGCUGGCGGCGUGCCUAAUACAUGCAAGUCGAGCGAACAGACGAGGAGCUUGCUCCUCUGACGUUAGCGGCGGACGGGUGAGUAACACGUGGAUAACCUACCUAUAAGACUGGGAUAACUUCGGGAAACCGGAGCUAAUACCGGAUAAUAUAUUGAACCGCAUGGUUCAAUAGUGAAAGACGGUUUUGCUGUCACUUAUAGAUGGAUCCGCGCCGCAUUAGCUAGUUGGUAAGGUAACGGCUUACCAAGGCAACGAUGCGUAGCCGACCUGAGAGGGUGAUCGGCCACACUGGGACUGAGACACGGUCCAGACUCCUACGGGAGGCAGCAGUAGGGAAUCUUCCGCAAUGGGCGAAAGCCUGACGGAGCAACGCCGCGUGAGUGAUGAAGGUCUUCGGAUCGUAAAACUCUGUUAUUAGGGAAGAACAAAUGUGUAAGUAACUAGGCACGUCUUGACGGUACCUAAUCAGAAAGCCACGGCUAACUACGUGC